rnacentral:misc_RNA from 1 species
GAGAAUCGGUCUCAAGAAGAAGCCGUUAGAUCAGACGAACCGCGAGGCAGCUCGAAUCGCCGCCAAUGGCGGCGAGCCCCAUGAGACCCCGGCCCACGGAUUUCUCGGAGAGAAGGGCGCGGAGACGGACAUUAUCGCGCUCAAGAACUACAUGAACGCUCAGUACUUCGGGGAAAUCGGGAUCGGAUCGCCCCCGCAGAAGUUCACCGUUAUCUUCGAUACUGGGAGUUCCAAUCUCUGGGUGCCAUCGUCUAAGUGCUAUUUAUCGCUUGCGUGCUUUUUUCAUAGUAAAUACAAGUCGAGCGAAUCGAGCACUUAUCAGGAGAAUGGGAAAUCUGCAGCUAUUCAGUAUGGGACUGGAUCAAUAUCUGGCUUCUUUAGCCAAGAUCAUGUUACAGUUGGCGAUCUAACUGUAAAAAACCAGCUUUUCAUUGAAG